ACUUGGAAACAAGGUAGGCUAAUACCGGAUAAGAAAGACGGAUCGCAUGAUCAGCUUUUAAAAGGUACGGCGUAAGCUGUCGCUAUGGGAUGGCCCCGCGGUGCAUUAGCUAGUUGGUAAGGUAAAGGCUUACCAAGGCGAUGAUGCAUAGCCGAGUUGAGAGACUGAUCGGCCACAUUGGGACUGAGACACGGCCCAAACUCCUACGGGAGGCAGCAGCC
rnacentral:rRNA from 1 species